ACUCCCUUAGUAUUAAUUUAGUACAAUUGACUUCCAAUCAAUUAGCUCCAGAAUAAACCUGGAAGAGAGUA
rnacentral:tRNA from 1 species